rnacentral:rRNA from 1 species
CCUACGGGGGGCAGCAGUGAGGAAUAUUGGUCAAUGGACGCGAGUCUGAACCAGCCAUGCCGCGUGCAGGAAGACGGCCCUAUGAGUUGUAAACUUCUUUUGUCCGAGGAGAAACGCAGGGACGCGUAUCUGUCUGCAAGUAUCGGACGAAUAAGGAUCGGCUAACUCCGUGCCAGCAGCCGCGGUAAUACGGAGGAUGCAAGCGUGAUCCGGAUUUAUUGGGUUUAAAGGGUGCGUAGGCGGUCGGAUAAUUUCGAGUUUAAAUCCCGAGGCUCCACUCCUGAAUUGCCUUUGAUACUGUUCGGCUAGAGAGGACUUGAGGUAGGCAGAAUGUACGGUGUAGCGGUGAAAUGCUUAGAGAUCAUACAGAACACCGAUUGCGAAGGCAGCUUACCAAGCCAAUACUGACGUUGAGGCACGAAAGCGUGGGGAGCAAACAGGAUUAGAUACCCUAGUAGUC